GCCCUCGUAGCCCAACGGCAGAGGCAGGCGGCUUAAACCCGCCCCAGUGUGGGUUCGAGUCCCACCGAGGGCA
rnacentral:tRNA from 1 species